AUACCAUGGUGUGGGCACUCUCUCAAAAGAUCUUUGUACCUUUCCCAUGCAUCAUAGAGAUAUUCAUUGUCUUUUUGUCUGAAGGUGUUAAGUUUAACUCGAAGUUU